rnacentral:lncRNA from 1 species
ACAAGGCCUAGCUCCAUUAUCACAGAAGGAUGGAUUUGGAAUUGAGAGGCAUAACUGUCACAGUCCCUUUAACUACUUUUUUCCUUUUCCUACAGCCUAGGAAGCUAAGAACCUUUAACUUUUUCAUGUGUACACAGUGAGAAACCACACACAUAUAACUUCUUUUGAUGACUUCUCUAUAUUACUGUGUAUGUUUUCAGAAAUUUUGAAGGACUAUUAAUGCAUCAUGUGACACAAUUAAGAAAUGAGCAUCCACUUCUUAAAUUUAUAAAUAAUCUUUUAAAAAAUACCUUUGGUGGUGGGGACCUAGAAUUAAGAUGUGGAGAUAAUGAUCUGACAAAAAAUUUGGAGAAAAAUUUAAGACAGAUGGGGGCAAAAGAUCCAUGUUUAGCUGGUCCGAAAGUAGUGUUUUCUCAGUUGGCUGUUCACAAUCAGUUACAGAUCAAACUUCUUGUUCUACUAUUUCCCCCCUUGACUAGUUGUUAAAAAAAAAAGACACCCAGGAUUACCAGGUCUCUUAGAUUUAUAUUUAUUUCCAGGUUUAACUUACUAGGUCAAGUCUUUUUCUAAUUAUUAUUUUUGAGACACGGUCUGGUCUGUCACUCUGUC